AUCCAGCCGACGAGUCCUGAAUAGGGCGAAAUACGCGUCCUGGAU
rfam:Schistosoma haematobium scaffold1481_20, whole genome shotgun sequence.